AUUCUUACCUGACAGACAGAGGAGAUACUGUUAUCACAAAGGUGCUUUUUCCCAGGGCAAAGUUUAUCUAUCAUAUUGUGGAUCUGCUGAUCCCUGCUAAUUCCACAUGUGGAAAACUUGAAUACAUAAUUUGUGCUAGUGGGCUAAAACAGAAACAACUUC
ensembl:snRNA U1 U1 spliceosomal RNA